GAAGCUGACUGGUGGCAGAGCAUCUGCCUUGCAUGCAGAAGGUCCCAGGUUCGGUCCCCGGCAUCUCCA